UAAGUUUAGGGGGUUUCCGCCCCUUAGUGCUGCAGCUAACGCAUUAAGCACUCCGCCUGGGGAGUACGGUCGCAAGACUGUAACUCAAAGGAAUUGACGGGGGCCCGCACAAGCGGUGGAGCAUGUGGUUUAAUUCGAAGCAACGCGAAGAACCUUACCAGGUCUUGACAUCCUCUGACAAUCCUAGAGAUAGGACGUCCCCUUCGGGGGCAGAGUGACAGGUGGUGCAUGGUUGUCGUCAGCUCGUGUCGUGAGAUGUUGGGUUAAGUCCCGCAACGAGCGCAACCCUUGAUCUUAGUUGCCAGCAUUCAGUUGGGCACUCUAAGGUGACUGCCGGUGACAAACCGGAGGAAGGUGGGGAUGACGUCAAAUCAUCAUGCCCCUUAUGACCUGGGCUACACACGUGCUACAAUGGACAGAACAAAGGGCAGCGAAACCGCGAGGUUAAGCCAAUCCCACAAAUCUGUUCUCAGUUCGGAUCGCAGUCUGCAACUCGACUGCGUGAAGCUGGAAUCGCUAGUAAUCGCGGAUCAGCAUGCCGCGGUGAAUACGUUUCCCGGGCCUUGUACACACCGCCCGUCACACCACGAGAGUUUGUAACACCCGAAGUCGGUGAGGUAACCUUUUAGGAGGCCAGCCG
rnacentral:rRNA from 1 species